UCCCUGGUGGCUCAGACGGUAAAGAAUCUGCCUGCAGUGUAGAAGUUCCAGGUUCAAUCCCUGGGCUGGGAA
rnacentral:tRNA from 1 species